rnacentral:lncRNA from 1 species
GUAUAUUCAUUUCUAAAACAAAAUGCAAUCAUUAGGAUAGCCAAAUAUAAUUCUUUUAUUGAAGACAAAUAUCUUUUUCAUAGCUCAAGUUAGUAGAGCAUGACAUUUGUUUGGCUUCAUAUGUUUGAAUAGAAAACAAAUUAUCUUCACAAACAUUUAUGUGUGGCUCCAUCCAAUUUUUUGUCAUGUUAUAAAUUUGUUUCUAUAAUAUGUCUUUUUAUAAGUUUUAACAAUACUAUGUUUUUUACUUUUCAACCUCAAACAUUUUUG